UUGUCAAAAUUUUCUCUGUUCUGAUGCAACCUAGAAACAACAACAAAAAACCCAAAAAUCAACGUCGGACUGUUGCGCCGAUUUGCCAACGGUGGUCGAAAAACUCCAAAUUCUUAUUUAGUAUAUUUUUGAUCCUUUGAACAUGAAUUCGGAGUCGGAUUCUCCAAAAAUCACCCCGAACUACUCGAAUCUAUGCUUAAACGUUCAAACUUCUCCUUGCCCGAUCUCGAAAUCCGACCGUCGAAUCAGUCUGAUUCCAAGGCUUCCACUUGGUUUUCCUUUUAUUGUUCAUUUUGCAUUUUUUGUGUUGUUGUUGGUGUGAAUUUUUUAGUUGUUGAAGGUGUGGUGAGGAUGUGUUUAUGGUGGCGAUGGUAAAUAGAGUGAUUAUGAGGGGGUUUGGAUUUGACAAUAGUGGUAAUGUAUGGCGGUUGGUUAACCGGAUAGUGGUGGUGAUUAGUGUUAAGAGAGGUUAAUGAUGGUGUGGUUAAGAGAAGAACAAAUUCAAAGUUUUUUAAUCUUUCUGAAAAAAAUGAAAAAAAAAAGAGGAGCUAUAAGAGGUUGAAGCGGGAAGCGGAGUUAACAAGGACGAGGUGGUUGAAGCAGGAAGCGAACAUGGCCGGUUUGAAGAGGUUAGUAUAAUGAGUUCUGAGAUACCCACUAUGAUUUCCCUUUCUUCUUCUUCUUCUGGUUGGUCAUGUCGAACGUGGUUAGUUAACGGAACAUGUCACCUGUCCCGUUAGGCCUGUAACGGAAAAUGUUAAUGGGUGACUGAUUUGUCGCUUUUCAAUAACGUUAAUGAUUGUUUUGUUAUUUUCGUAAAGUUUAGUGACUAGUUGUAACUUUUCAAAGUUUAGUGUUUGUUUUGUUAUUUUAAUCAAAGUUGAGUGACUGUUGGUGUA